ensembl:lncRNA
ACCCAAUCAAUCAAUCAGUCAGUCAGUCAGUCAGUCAGUCAGUCUUUGAUUACACUAUUUAAAUAGCCCCCAUUUGGGGUCAGCUUUCGCUUACGGCCAUACCACUCUGAAAAAGCCUGAUCUCAUCUGACCUCGGAAGCAAAGCAGAGUUGGGCCUGGUUAGUACUUGGUUGGGAGACUGAAUGGGAAUACUAGGUGCUGUAAGCUUUUUAUUUGGAUCAGUGUUUUCAUGGCCUCUGCACAACAUCCUGUUUUGGGAUAAAGGUUGGACACAGGUUUGAAGGGGACCCAAUCAAUCAAUCAUCAGUCAGUCAGUCAGUCAGUCUUUUGAUUACACUAUUUAAAUAGCCCCCAUUUGGGGUCAGCUUUCGCUUACGGCCAUACCACUCUGAAAAAGCCUGAUCUCAUCUGACCUCGGAAGCAAAGCAGAGUUGGGCCUGGUUAGUACUUGGUUGGGAGACUGAAUGGGAAUACUAGGUGCUGUAAGCUUUUUUAUUUGGAUCAGUGUUUUCAUGGCCUCUGCACAACAUCCUGUUUUGGGAUAAAGGUUGGACACAGGUUUGAAGGGGACCCAAUCAAUCAAUCAAUCAAUCAGUCAGUCUUUUGAUUACACUAUUUAAAUAGGCCCCAUUUGGGGUCAGCUUUCGCUUACGGCCAUACCACUCUGAAAAAGCCUGAUCUCAUCUGACCUCGGAAGCAAAGCAGAGUUGGGCCUGGUUAGUACUUGGUUGGGAGACUGAAUGGGAAUACUAGGUGCUGUAAGCUUUUUAUUUGGAUCAGUGUUUUCAUGGCCUCUGCACAACAUCCUGUUUGGGAUAAAGGUUGGACACAGGUUUGAAGGGGACCCAAUCAAUCAAUCAAUCAAUCAGUCAGGGACCCAAUCAAUCAAUCAGUCAGUCACUCAGUCAGUCUUUUGAUUACACUAUUUAAAUAGGCCCCAUUUGGGGUCAGCUUUCGCUUACGGCCAUACCACUCUGACAAAGCCUGAUCUCAUCUGACCUCGGAAGCAAAGCAGAGUUGGGCCUGGUUAGUACUUG